CAGUAGCCACGGUAAUACGUAGGGUGCGAGCGUUAAUCGGAAUUACUGGGCGUAAAGCGUGCGCAGGCGGUUCGGAAAGAGAGAUGUGAAAUCCCAGGGCUUAACCUUGGAACUGCAUUUUUAACUACCGGACUAGAGUGUGUCAGAGGGAGGUGGAAUUCCGCGUGUAGCAGUGAAAUGCGUAGAGAUGCGGAGGAACACCGAUGGCGAAGGCAGCCUCCUGGGAUAACACUGACGCUCAUGCACGAAAGCGUGGGGAGCAAACAGGAUUAGAUACCCCCGUAGUCCCUGUCUCUUAUAC
rnacentral:rRNA from 1 species